rnacentral:rRNA from 1 species
UACGAAGGGGGCUAGCGUUGCUCGGAAUGACUGGGCGUAAAGGGCGCGUAGGCGGCUACUUAAGUCGGAUGUGAAAGCCCCUGGCUCAACUGGGGAAGUGCACCCGAAACUGAGUGGCUUGAGUACUAAAGAGGGUCGCGGAAUUCCCGGUGUAGAGGUGAAAUUCGUAGAUAUCGGGAGGAACACCGGUGGCGAAGGCGGCGACCUGGGUAGAUACUGACGCUGAGGCGCGAAAGCCAGGGGAGCGAACGGG